rnacentral:snRNA from 1 species
GUGCAUCAGAGAGAUUCC